AGCAUUAGAGGAUAGAAAUGGCAGCUAUCGCACAUUUGUUAUGAGAUGCAGGAAUUGUCGCCCUGCCUAAUGCA
rnacentral:ncRNA from 1 species